ACGGCUCAGUAACACGUAGUCAACAUGCCCAGGGGACGUGGAUAACCUCGGGAAACUGAGGAUAAACCGCGAUAGGCCAAGGUUUCUGGAAUGGACAAUGGCUGAAACCUAUAUGGCCCCUGGAUUGGACUGCGGCCGAUCAGGCUGUUGGUGAGGUAAUGGCCCACCAAACCUGUAACCGGUACGGGCUCUGAGAGGAGGAGCCCGGAGAUGAGCACUGAGACAAGGGCCCAGGCCCUAUGGGGCGCAGCAGGCGCGAAACCUCUGCAAUAGGCGAAAGCUUGGCAGGGUUACUCUGAGUGAUGUCCGCUAAGGGCAUCUUUUGGCACUUCUAAAAAUAGUGUAGAAUAAGGGGUGGGCAAGUCUGGUGUCAGCCGCCGCGGUAAUACCAGCACCCCGAGUGGUCGGGACGAUUAUUGGGCCUAAAGCAUCCGUAGCCGGUUCUGCAAGUCUUCCGUUAAAUCCACCUGCUCAACAGAUGGGCUGCGGAGGAUGCUACAGGGCUAGGAGGCGGGAGAGGCAAGCGGUACUCAGUGGGUAGGGGUAAAAUCCUCUGAUCCACUGAAGACCACCAGUGGCGAAGGCGGCUUGCCAGAACGCGCUCGACGGUGAGGGAUGAAAGCUGGGGGAGCAAACCGGAUUAGAUACCCGGGUAGUCCCAGCUGUAAACGAUGCAGACUCGGUGAAUGGGUUGGCUUCGAGCCAACCCAGUGCCGCAGGGAAGCCGUUAAGUCUGCCGCCUGGGGAGUACGGUCGCAAGACUGAAACUUAAAGGAAUUGGCGGGGGAGCAC
rnacentral:rRNA from 1 species